CUGGAGAAGCUGUGGCCAUCUACACAACUACUGUGCAUUGGUUAGAAUCAAGAAAAUUCUCUCCUAUACCUUUCCCUCCACUGUCAAUCAAGCAUGGUACUAAGCUACUCAUCCUUGCUCUGGAAAGGCUAAAAGAAUCAUACAGUGUGGCGGUGAGAUUGAACCAGUUACAAAGGGAAGAAUUGGGUCUUAUUGAACAGGCGUAUGAUAACCCUCAUGAAGCUUUGUCAAGGAUAAAGCGUCACUUACACAACGGGCCUUCAAAGAAGUUGGCAUCGAGUUCAUGGAUUUGUAUAGCUAUCUGAUUCCAGUAUAUGAGGUUGAGCCUCUAGAGAAAAUAACAGAUGCAUACCUAGAUCAGUAUCUAUGGUAUGAAGGUGACAAGAGACAUCUUUUCCCAAAUUGGAUUAAACCUGCUGAUUCAGAACCACCGCCUCUACUCGUAUAUAAAUGGUGCCAAGGUAUCAAUAACUGGGCGUAUGGGAUACGAGUGACGGGCAAUGUGUUGUGAUGCUUCAAACAAAUUUCUGAGAAGUUCUUUGAGAAGAUUGAUUUGACCAUGUUGAACAGGCUUCUAAGGUUGGUGCUUGAUCACAGCAUUGCGGACUACGUGACUGCUAAAAACAAUGUGGUGUUAUCUUACGAGGAUAUGGGUUGCACAAACUCAUAUGGUCUCGUUCGUGGCCUGCAAUUUGCCUCUUUUGUAGUUCAAUAUUAUGGGCUGGUACUUGACCUCUUGCUUCUCGGGUUAACUCGAGCCAGUGAAAUUGUGAGAGAUGUUGGACAUUUUGGAUAUUAGAGACAAAUAUAUAAUAUUAGAUGCUUUUCAUUGUGAGAGAUUGGAAGUUAUCAUUGUGUAUGUUUAUGUUUUGUCUCUAAUAUUGUAUAUUAAGUAAACAUUGUGUAUGAAUAUAUAACAAUGGAUAUUUA